UAGGGAAUCUUCGGCAAUGGGGGGAACCCUGACCGAGCAACGCCGCGUGAGUGAAGAAGGUUUUCGGAUCGUAAAGCUCUGUUGUUAAGGAAGAACGAGUGUGAGAAUGGAAAGUUCAUACUGUGACGGUACUUAACCAGAAAGGGACGGCUAACUACGUGCCAGCAGCCGCGGUAAUACGUAGGUCCCGAGCGUUGUCCGGAUUUAUUGGGCGUAAAGCGAGCGCAGGCGGUCAAUUAAGUCUGAUGUGAAAGCCCCCGGCUCAACCGGGGAGGGUCAUUGGAAACUGGUUGACUUGAGUGCAGAAGAGGAGAGUGGAAUUCCAUGUGUAGCGGUGAAAUGCGUAGAUAUAUGGAGGAACACCAGUGGCGAAGGCGACUCUCUGGGCCGUUACUGACGCUGAGGAGCGAAAGCGUGGGGAGCGAACAGG
rnacentral:rRNA from 1 species